rnacentral:rRNA from 1 species
GUGCCAGCCGCCGCGGUAGUACGGAGGGUGCGAGCGUUGUCCGGAAUCACUGGGCGUAAAGGGCGCGUAGGUGGCCUGUGGAAGUCUGCGGUGAAAGCCCGGCGCUCAACGCCGGGUCGGCCGUGGAUACUCUCGGGCUUGAGCUUACUAGAGGCAGAUGGAAUUCCGGGUGUAGCGGUGGAAUGCGUAGAGAUCCGGAAGAACACCGGUGGCGAAGGCGGUCUGCUGGGGUAAUGCUGACACUGAUGCGCGACAGCGUGGGGAGCAAACAGGAUUAGAUACCCUGGUAGUCCACGCCGUAAACGAUGGGCACUAGGUGCUUGGGGGAGCGACCCCCUGAGUGCCGUCGCUAACGCAUUAAGUGUUCCGCCUGGGGAGUACGACCGCAAGGUUGAA